AUACAGGGGGUGCGAGCGUUAAUCGGAAUUACUGGGCGUAAAGCGUACGUAGGCGGUUGGUUAAGUUAGAUGUGAAAGCCCCGGGCUUAACCUGGGAACUGCAUUUAAAACUGGCGAACUAGAGUUGAGUAGAGGGGAGUGGAAUUUCAGGUGUAGCGGUGAAAUGCGUAGAGAUCUGAAGGAACACCAGUGGCGAAGGCGACUCCCUGGACUCGAACUGACGCUGAGGUACGAAAGCGUGGGUAGCAAACGGGAUUAGAAACCCUGGUAGUCC
rnacentral:rRNA from 1 species